UAGGGAAUCUUCGGCAAUGGGGGGAACCCUGACCGAGCAACGCCGCGUGAGUGAAGAAGGUUUUCGGAUCGUAAAGCUCUGUUGUUAAGGAAGAACGAGUGUGAGAAUGGAAAGUUCAUACUGUGACGGUACUUAACCAGAAAGGGACGGCUAACUACGUGCCAGCAGCCGCGGUAAUACGUAGGUCCCGAGCGUUGUCCGGAUUUAUUGGGCGUAAAGCGAGCGCAGGCGGUUAGAUAAGUCUGAAGUUAAAGGCAGUGGCUCAACCAUUGUAGGCUUUGGAAACUGUUUAACUUGAGUGCAGAAGGGGAGAGUGGAAUUCCAUGUGUAGCGGUGAAAUGCGUAGCUAUAUGGAGGAACACCGGUGGCGAAAGCGGCUCUCUGGUCUGUAACUGACGCUGAGGCUCGAAAGCGUGGGGAGCGAACAGG
rnacentral:rRNA from 1 species